rnacentral:rRNA from 1 species
GUGAGGAAUAUUGGUCAAUGGGCGCAAGCCUGAACCAGCCAUGCCGCGUGCAGGAAGACGGUCCUAUGGAUUGUAAACUGCUUUUAUUUGGGAAUAAACUCCGGUACGUGUACCGGCCUGAAGGUACCAAAUGAAUAAGCACCGGCUAACUCCGUGCCAGCAGCCGCGGUAAUACGGAGGGUGCAAGCGUUAUCCGGAAUCAUUGGGUUUAAAGGGUCCGCAGGCGGUCUUAUAAGUCAGUGGUGAAAGCCUACAGCUCAACUGUAGAACUGCCAUUGAUACUGUAGGACUUGAAUUCGAUCGAAGUGGGCGGAAUGUGACAUGUAGCGGUGAAAUGCUUAGAUAUGUCACAGAACACCGAUAGCGAAGGCAGCUCACUAGGUCUGGAUUGACGCUCAGGGACGAAAGCGAGGGGAGCAAAUGGGAUUAGAAACCCUAGUAGUCC